rnacentral:misc_RNA from 1 species
GAAAUGCGAAAAGUAAUGUGAAUUGCAGAAUUCAGUGAAUCAUCGAAUCUUUGAACGCACAUUGCGCCCGCCAGUAUUCUGGCGGGCAUGCCUGUUCGAGCGUCAUUUCAACCAUCAAGCCCCGCGCUUGUGUUGGGGACCUGCGGCUGCCGCAGGCCCUGAAAACCAGUGGCGGGCUCGCUGUCACACCGGGCGUAGUAGAUUUUAUCUCGCUCAGGGCGUGCUGCGGGUUCCGGCCGUUAAAAAGCCUUUUUUACCCAAGGUUGACCUCGGAUCAGGUAGGAAGACCCGCUGAACUUAAGC